rnacentral:rRNA from 1 species
GUGCCAGCCGCCGCGGUAAUACGGAGGGUGCAAGCGUUAUCCGGAAUCAUUGGGUUUAAAGGGUCCGCAGGCGGUCAAUUAAGUCAGAGGUGAAAUACCGUCGCUUAACGACGGAACUGCCUUUGAUACUGGUUGACUUGAGUCAUAUGGAAGUAGAUAGAAUGUGUAGUGUAGCGGUGAAAUGCUUAGAUAUUACACAGAAUACCGAUUGCGAAGGCAGUCUACUACGUAUGUACUGACGCUCAUGGACGAAAGCGUGGGGAGCGAACAGGAUUAGAAACCCUAGUAGUCC